rnacentral:rRNA from 1 species
UACGUAGGGUGCGAGCGUUGUCCGGAAUUAUUGGGCGUAAAGAGCUCGUAGGCGGUGUGUCACGUCGGCCGUAAAACCUGGGGCUUAACUCUGGGCGUGCGGUCGAUACGGGCAUCACUAGAGUUCGGCAGGGGAGACUGGAAUUCCUGGUGUAGCGGUGAAAUGCGCAGAUAUCAGGAGGAACACCGGUGGCGAAGGCGGGUCUCUGGGCCGAUACUGACGCUGAGGAGCGAAAGCGUGGGGAGCGAACAGG